rnacentral:lncRNA from 1 species
AUGGAAUUCCGGUAAAAUAAAAGUUUAGUAGGGCAAGAUUGCCACAAGGCAUAUGUAGGUACAUGUGUUUGUAGUAUCAGUUAGUUAGUUACACGUAGCUAAGAUACUGUCAUCAAUGUACUGAGCAUGUGCAGGAAUGCAGGAACUGGAAUUACGCGUCCCUUUCCUUUGUUUCAGAUGAGCCACGUGGUUAGACCGGAUGGAUGAGUUAAGACUCUAUUCAUUGAUUAGGUUAAGGGUAUGUGUGGGCGUAGCUAAUUAUGG